rnacentral:rRNA from 1 species
AAUCCAUAGGUUAAUGAGGCGAACCGGGGGAACUGAAACAUCUAAGUACCCCGAGGAAAAGAAAUCAACCGAGAUUCCCCCAGUAGCGGCGAGCGAACGGGGAGGAGCCCAGAGCCUGAAUCAGCAUGUGUGUUAGUGGAAGCGUCUGGAAAGGCGCGCGAUACAGGGUGACAGCCCCGUACACAAAAGCGCAUGUGCUGUGAGCUCGAUGAGUAGGGCGGGACACGUGGUAUCCUGUCUGAAUAUGGGGGGACCAUCCUCCAAGGCUAAAUACUCCUGACUGACCGAUAGUGAACCAGUACCGUGAGGGAAAGGCGAAAAGAACCCCGGCGAGGGGAGUGAAAAAGAACCUGAAACCGUGUACGUACAAGCAGUGGGAGCACCCUUUGGGGUGUGACUGCGUACCUUUUGUAUAAUGGGUCAGCGACUUAUAUUCUGUAGCAAGGUUAACCGUAUAGGGGAGCCGCAGGGAAACCGAGUCUUAAUUGGGCGUUAAGUUGCAGGGUAUAGACCCGAAACCCGGUGAUCUAGCCAUGGGCAGGUUGAAGGUUGGGUAACACUAACUGGAGGACCGAACCGACUAAUGUUGAAAAAUUAGCGGAUGACCUGUGGCUGGGGGUGAAAGGCCAAUCAAACCGGGAGAUAGCUGGUUCUCCCCGAAAGCUAUUUAGGUAGCGCCUCGUGAAUUCAUCUCCGGGGGUAGAGCACUGUUUCGGCUAGGGGGCCAUCCCGGCUUACCAACCCGAUGCAAACUGCGAAUACCGGAGAAUGUUAUCACGGGAGACACACGGCGGGUGCUAACGUCCGUCGUGAAGAGGGAAACAACCCAGACCGCCAGCUAAGGUCCCAAAGUCAUGGUUAAGUGGGAAACGAUGUGGGAAGGCCCAGACAGCCAGGAUGUUGGCUUAGAAGCAGCCAUCAUUUAAAGAAAGCGUAAUAGCUCACUGGUCGAGUCGGCCUGCGCGGAAGAUGUAACGGGGCUAAACCAUGCACCGAAGCUGCGGCAGCGACACUGUGUGUUGUUGGGUAGGGGAGCGUUCUGUAAGCCUGUGAAGGUGGCCUGUGAGGGUUGCUGGAGGUAUCAGAAGUGCGAAUGCUGACAUAAGUAACGAUAAAGCGGGUGAAAAGCCCGCUCGCCGGAAGACCAAGGGUUCCUGUCCAACGUUAAUCGGGGCAGGGUGAGUCGACCCCUAAGGCGAGGCCGAAAGGCGUAGUCGAUGGGAAACGGGUUAAUAUUCCCGUACUUGGUGUUACUGCGAAGGGGGGACGGAGAAGGCUAUGUUGGCCGGGCGACGGUUGUCCCGGUUUAAGCGUGUAGGUGUGUGUUCCAGGUAAAUCCGGUUCACUUUAACACUGAGGCGUGAUGACGAGGCACUACGGUGCUGAAGCAACAAAUGCCCUGCUUCCAGGAAAAGCCUCUAAGCAUCAGGUAACAUCAAAUCGUACCCCAAACCGACACAGGUGGUCAGGUAGAGAAUACCAAGGCGCUUGAGAGAACUCGGGUGAAGGAACUAGGCAAAAUGGUGCCGUAACUUCGGGAGAAGGCACGCUGACAC